rnacentral:lncRNA from 1 species
AUUAAGUAAAAAAAAACCUGUCGUUGUUAUUAUUGUUAUUAAAGUACAUAUUUUUAAGUUUUUAAUGUGAAUUAAUAUAAAAUGCAAUGUCAAAUUAACAAUAUUACAGUUGGUAUAUCUGCCUCUGGGACAAAUUGUAAAGGGUGGGUUAAUUUGGGACAUACAGGUAUAAUGAGAAGCAGGCAGGAUUUGCGGUGGGUCAACCUUGAGUUCAAGUCCCACUCCUACCUUAUUAACCAUAUGGCCCCUAGGUAAUUCAUAAACCUCUAUGAGCCUUAGUUUCUUCCAUAAAUUAAGGAGAUGACCCACCUACUUAGAAGGUUGUGAGGAUUAAGUGAAACCAGGUGUAAUAAGCAUUUUCUAGGUGGCCUUGUGCGUGGCAAGCAUUUGGAGUUCCCACCAUGUGCAUAUCUCUAAGAAGGGAAAACUUGGGUUUUGGCAACAUCAAAGAGGAACUUAACUCCAGCACCUACUGAGUAUCUGUGCUUGGUAAAUAUUGCUUAAGAGUAUUCAUCUGCUUAAAAUCUGGGGCCUGCAGAUAGGGGUGGGAGAGUGAGGCAGGAGAGUUGUAGGUUAAAUUCAGCUGCUUUGUACACCACAUCUGUAUAUAAUAAACAGAUAACUAACAAGAACCUACUGCAUAGCACAGGGAAAUCUACUCGAUAGCGUGCAAUAACUUAUGGGGAAAAAAUGGAUACAUGUACAUGUAUAAUUGAUUCACUUUGCUGUACACCUGCAACUAACGCAACAUUGUAAGUCAACUCCAAUAAAAAAUUUUUUUAAAUUCAUCUUUUUUGUGAAAACAACUGAUAUCAGGAAAAGCACUUGACUCUGAAUGUGGCCAGCCCAGGCAUCAUGGACCAGUCCCUCCAACCCCUUCUCUGCCUUUCUCUAUGGUCUCAGAACCUAAGAGUUCAGUGGGAAGUACAUCUGGAAUAUUCAGAUACAUGUGCAAAUGAAAAGACAUGGAAAACACCUCCCAUUUCAGUUAUCUAGUGCUAUGUAAUAAACUACUCCCAAAACUUGGUGGCAUUGAACAACUAUCAUUUUAUUACCAUCUAUCUUGAUUUCAGGGGUUGACUGGGUUAAGCUGAGCUGCGCUUCUGCAUUGACAUCAACCGGAGCUGCAGUCAACGGGGAGGUGAGUCUGGAGAACCCAAAAAGUCUCACUCACAAAGCUGAAGUCUGGCUGGGGGUUAGCCAGAAAUCAGCUGGGGCUCGCAUCUUGAUUUUCCUCCAUGUGGCCUCCCCAUGAAGCUUGGGCUUCUUAUAUAUGGCAGCAGGAUUCCAAGGGGAAGGACACAGAAACUGCCCAUCUCUUAAGGCCAUAUGUCUUAGGCUCAUAUGUCUCAGCACAUCAUUUCAAUAACAUCAAAGCAAUCAUGGAACUAGCCCAGACUCAAAGAAAGGGGAUAUAAACUCCACCUCUUAAUGGCAAAGUUAUUUUACAAACAGGGAGGGAAAGGGUUGAUGGCAGCCAUCUUGGAAGACCAUGUACCACACCUCCUGAAAAUUUCACUUCUUACAAAGAGUUUUCACUCUAGAAUUAUGUGUAUCUCUCAGCCCAGUAAAUAAUUAUCCCAGUAAUUUAUCAUAAGGAAGUAGUCUUGGAUGACUCAAAAGAUUUGAUGAAAGGUUUUCCAUUACUAACUUUUCUUAUGCUGGGAAGUUAGAUGAGGCCAUGCAAUGUCUCACCAGACACAAAGCCUAUGUCCUAUAGAAACAGAAGCCUUGACCCUGAGAACUGAUGUGCUUAGAUAAGGUCAUUCUAGGUAAACAGACGAUGUGUGUACUCUUGAAAAGCACUGGCUCCCUAUAACUGGAUUAGCCCUGAGGAGAAGUGCUCUCCAUUCAUUUAUUCAGCAAUUGUUUGUGGUGCACCUGUAACUCACCAUGUUGGUUUCAAUGUGGGGCUUCAGCAGCACUGAACUCAACAAAGUACUUGGCUGCAGGAACCUUACAUUUUAGUGGACAGACAACCAAAUAAAUACAUAAUUACAUAUAAAAUAGCAUAUGGUAAAAAGACCUUGUUGAGUGAUAAUUCUCCUCUAAGGUUCUGCAAGAAAAAAGAGAAACAUUUACACCCCUUUGGUACAAUGGCAAAUGAUGAGGAAGAGGCAUAGAAAUAGCAUUGGCCUUGCAGUUACAAGACUUGGAUUUAAAUCACUGACCUGAAUUUCGUGCGUGAACUUGAGCUAACGGCACUAAAACUUCACAAGCGUCAGUAACCUUUUCUGCAAAAUGGGAACCAUAGUACUGCUUUCCUCACAGAGAAGAUACGAGGAUCAAACCAGACUGUAAAAUCUACUAAGGAAUAAGCUCCGAGUUUUUCCCAUUUCGUAAACUUUUGGCUCUACACUCCAAAGUAGGAUCAAGUCGCUGCCAAGCCAAGCUCCUGCUGUAAAUUUGAAAACAUCAAGUCCCAGCUCUGAUGCUACCAAUGCCAUGGGAUUGAUCUCAAGGCAUGAAACAUUUUAUAUAUCAAGCCAUGGGUGGGGAGACGCAGACAGGGAAGGAGACAGCCUCUGUCUAGCAGCUUCCUUUCUUCCUCUCACUUGCAGGUGUUCAGUAAAGCAAUCUGGAUGUUCCAAAAGGUCACCCUCUGUCUCGCUUUGUUGUAAGACACGUCAAGCUGUGGCCAUUCCAUGCUACAGUUGGGAAGUUGAUAUUUAAUAGUUUUCAUUUCUCUUAAGAGUCUUAUAACGGAAAAAGUAAAUAAAUAUAACAUAUGGGAGGAUAUAUACCGAAAUUAUAGCGAAUACUUGUUGAGCUGCUGGUGCUCUCUUUUUCUUGCUUGCUUCUCUAUUUUUUGUUUGUUUGUUUUGUUUUGUUUUUUACGGCCACACCUGUGGCAUAUCCAAGUUCCAGGGACAGGGGUGGAACUGGAGUUGCAGCUGAGGCCUAUGCCACAGACACAGCAAUGCCAGAUCUGUUCUUCGUCUGUGACCUACACCGCAGCUUGCGGCAUGCCAGAUCUUUAACCAAUUCAGGGAGGCCAGGAAAGGAACACGCAUCCUCACGACCACUACAUUGGGUUCUGAACCUGCUGAGCCACAAUGGGAACUCCAACUUCUCUGUUUUGUGUUUUCUUUUUUCAUUUAUUAAAAACGACAACAACUUAUGCAGCAUGUACAUGCAGGGAUCAGACAGCUGGAAGGGAUGACCCCACCAUUCCCAUCUCAGUUCCAAAUUUUGAUGCCACCCCAUUUCUUCUGGGUUCACCAGCCAGUGUAGACUUGAUGUCAUUAGGUUGGGGGCCCUAUAAGGCUACUGCUGUGUUUUUAUUUUUUCUCCUCCUGCCAUUUCUAAAUUUUCAAGAUUUCCCAGCCAGGCCUAGGUCUCACCAUAUCUUGUCUUUCCUCGAUUUUAAAACCACCAGACAAAGAUUUGAAUCCAGGUUCUUUACUUAUUGGCUAAGUGACUUUGAAGAAGCUUCUUAACUUCUCUGAACUGCAAUUUUGUCAUCUGUAAAAUGGGAGCAAUAACACCCACAGGGAGGAGGUCGUAAGGAUUUGGCAAGAUAAUGUUAAAAGGGCUGGCACAUAAUAGAGGCUCAAAAGGUAAUUGCUAUUAAUAAAAGUAGUCCUGGGAAGCACUGGAGGCUGUUCUAGGCUGUUCACGGGCAGAAUUGUACUAUCCUUAAGAGCUCUGGGAGUUCCCUUCAUGGCGCAGCGGAAACGAAUCCAACUAGGAACCAUGAGGUAGCAGGUUCGAUCCCUGGCCUUGCUCAGUGGGUUAAGGAUCCAGCGUUGCCAUGAGCUGUGGUGUAGGUCGCAGAUGCGGCUUGGAUCUGGUGUUGCUGUGGCUGUGGUAUAGGUCAGCAGAAACAGACCCUAGUCUGGGAACCUCCAAAUGCCGUGGGUGCGGCCCUAAAAAGACAAAAAGAAAAUAGAGAGAGAAAAAAAAAAAAAAAAAAAAAAAAAAAAGAACUCUGGCUCUGGUCUCUAAAGAACCCAGUUAAAGUCCUUGCUUUCUCUGCCUGGGCUUCCUCAUUUGUGAAAUAUGCAUAAUAAUAGAACUUAUCCUAACAGUGAUUCUCCAGCUGUUAUACAGGGAUCCUAACAGUCCCCAAGACCCUUCCUGGGGUCCUCAAGGUCAAAUCUACUUUGGUAAUAGGGCUAAAACAGUACCUGCCCUUUUCAUUCGUAUUCUUUCUCAAGUAUACAGUAGAUUUCCAAAGCCUACAUGACAUGUCAUGUGUUAUUGCUCUGAUGGCUAAUGGAAAGUGUGUUUGUAAAUUCCCAUGCUUUGGGGUUUUUUUCAGUUGAAUUUCUAAUAAAUAUCAAGAUGUAUAUAACUUACAUAAACAAAAGCUCUUUGGGGUCCUCAAUAAUUUGAAGGGUCUAAAGGGGGCCUGAGACAAAACAUUCCGAGAAUCAAUGCCUGUUAGGGUUGUUGUAAAGAUUAAGAACUGUACACCUGAAACUAAAACAAUAUCGUACAUCAGCUAUACUUCAGUUUGAAAAAAGAUUAACCAGCAAUUGGCAAAGGCACACAAAGCACUCAAUAAGCACUACUCCUAUAAUUAUUGAUUCCAGAGCUCCUGAAUCACAUCAGGUAAGUGUCUGCCUCCUCCACCUACACGUGAAGCAAACUGAAAUCGUAGCUCUUAAUGCAAAAGUCACCCUUGUUUAAUCCCCUGCUGUCUGCUUAUAUAGGGAAGGUCCGGCCCAUGCUAAACUCUGAACAAUUUCAAGACACUGCAGCACAUCAGAUGCCCCCACAGUGUCCAAGAGAUACAAGUGGCCUGAAGACAUGAAAGCUCAAUGGACGGUCCAGAGGGUCUACCCGGUGUGGCUCAUGCCUGACCCUUCCAUCCUAUUAUCCGCUCGCCCAACCAAAAGAAGACGGUAGUGAGGGGGGGGACAGAGGAAACAUGGCUUAUAGAAAUCCCUUCUAAGUGGAUGACCAGCAAAAGGAGGUGCAGCCUCAGAACAGAUACAACUUUCUUAAGGUUUCAGUAACUUCCAUGGAAACAGGGAACUGUAGUUAUGGGGGGGGGGCGUAGGGAAGCAGUGGAAUGACCUGGAAGAGUCAAGAGUAAGCAAUAUAAAAAUAUUAUAGUUGGUGGGAUUGUUUUCUUUUUCUUUCUCUCUUCAUGCACAUCCUUGAGGGAAGAGGAAAAAAACUCAGCAUCCCUAAAUUCUGAUAUUGACAGCAAGCACAUUAGGAUGUUAGACAGUAGAUAUGGAAUGAGUUUGAGAAAGAUGCGAUAGCAUCUGGAUCAUAGUCACCCAGGAAGUUCUUAAUAAAUCCUUUAAGAACCUGGGCAGUUUGCCUCUCAGAUCUGAGAGCAUUAGGAAAAGAGACCUCCUUCAAAGCCAGUACCUGGUUUCCUGCACCGUUAACAAACAACCCUGCAUCAGCAAUAACGGAACAAACAGGUGCAAGCCAGUAGAAAGUUUUGCAUAUGAGCUAUUUUUAUUUUUAUUGUAAAAAUUUCUGGGAACCCAAAGAACAGGUUCUGGUGGAGAAACUGGAGCCCUAAAGGGAGACCCUGAGAAAACCUUUCAGCUGCUUUCUUCUCCUCAGCCUCAGAAACGAAAAUGCCAAAAGGUCAACCAAUGCGUUGACCACGCAGUCAGCCCGGGAGCCAGCCAUUUUCACCCCGUCUCCGUCCUCGCCUCCAGCCACUCCGCCGCACACGGCCACCUGUUGCUGUCCUAGCGCCCAGAGCCGAGUCGCAAGCCGCCGCUAGAGUUCGUUCUAAUUCCCCCCAAGCUAAGGCUGGCCGGGAAGCCCCGACGCUCCGCGCCUGCUAAUCCUCAGCGCGGGCGGGGACUCCGCGGAGCCUCCCAGCCCCAGGCUCCCUUUGUCUUCUUGCUGCUCUCAAAAUGUCAAAAGUAGACCCCAGACAGCAUCCCCUUGGCCCCCGCUCGCCCAGUGCGCGCUCGCACUCAGCACACACUUGGGAGAUGCUGACGCGUCGAGAUGCCCACCGAGGAGAAACUGGUCCACCUGGCAGGGACAGGCGGCGCAGACAGGUUCUGUGAAAUGCCAAAGCGUCCCCUGAAUCCCAAAUCCCUUGGAGCCCUUAGCUGAACACUGCUGCUGAAGCGCCGCGCCCAAAACGCGAGUUCACGGUUCCCGAGGCCGCGGGCGGAGGGCAGCGAGAUUCUGACCUGCCUUUGCUCUAAGCCGCCCGAGGGGAUCCAGGGGGCGGCGGCGGUUAGGGAUGCCCUCCCGCCGGGAAGGCCAGAGUCCCAGUUUCGAAAGUGACCCGCCUCGCUUCCGAGGGACUUCCCUGCCAGCGCCGCAGGGGUGUGCAUUUCUCCGAAGUCUGAGAAUCCCAGCGAGCGCUGGCCCGACAAGAGUUUAAGUCAGCUCCCAGGGCGUCUGUUUGUUUAUUGGCUCUUAGGAAAAAAAGUUUGAGGAUGUUUAACCAACCUCAGACCUGGCGCAAGCGGAAAUCUCAGAAUCUCUUCAGCAAAAGUCAUCUAAUUUCGAGUCGUUAUAUAAGUGGGGGCUCUUCCUUACCCUCCCUACUCCGAGCCCUCUUAUUACUACUCCAGGAGUUAAAUGUGUCUCGCUUUAAAAAAGAAAAAAAAAAUUUUUUUAAGUUGUUAUUAUUUCCCUGAGUCCUAGGGCGGGAGAAAGCGCAGGCAGCGCCCUGGGCUUGCGGCGGCCCCACCCGCGCGCUGCCGUUUGCUCUGCAGGAGGGACGCGGGGUCCCGGGUGCCGCCCGCUCAGCGAGCAGCCGCGCCCAGCGGUCCCUCCGUCGGCCACUCCACGUGGUUAGGAUCAACAGUUUGUCGAGCUCAUCAGUGACACCUUGAACUUUUCAUAAAGAAAAUGGGUAUUGCACCAGGAGGGUUUGGCCGCGGCCGCCGCGCCGGGUCGUGCUUAAUAUUCAAUGAUCUCGCUCGCGCCUCCCCCUCCUCCCCUCGCAGAAAUUCCACCGAGUCCGUUACUGGGCUCAGACUUUUAAGUUAAUUUACUGCCCACCCCCCAACCUUGGCUAGUAACCAGCGCCUUUAGGGUUGGCCUCCCCCCCAGCUCUCGCCUGAAAAUGACAUUUCGCCGGCGUCUCCGGAGGGGGCUGAAUUUCACUUUGUAACUUUCUGCGGAACCCGAGCCCGGGUGGCAGCUCGGGUGGUGGUAUCGUAUGCAAAUACGCAU